rnacentral:snRNA from 1 species
GCAUCUGCCACAAGCUGUGAUACCCCUUUAAUCUCCAGGUUCACCCUGGAUUUAGUUCACCCGACUUUCUAGGUUGUUAUCCCCUUCCUCUGUCACUGCUCCAUGAGCAUCCCUCCCAAAGCUAUGGCCUUGGCUGAAGAAGAUGAUGUUCACCAAUAAGGGGGAACUGUUUCCAGUCAAGAGUGUAGAACACAGCUACUUCUCUGCUUGAAUCUCCCAACAAGCUUUCAAGAUACUCUUACCGACUUGAUGCCAGAGCUUGCAUGAAGAAAAGGGUUU